GAUGAAGAACGUAGCGAAAUGCGAUACGUAAUGUGAAUUGCAGAAUUCAGUGAAUCAUCGAGUCUUUGAACGCACAUUGCGCCCCCUGGUAUUCCGGGGGGCAUGCCUGUUUGAGUAUCAUGAAGACCUCAACUCUCAUGAUGAGCUUGGAUUUGGGGGUCUUGCUGGCCUGUGGUCGGCUCCUCUCAAAUGGAUCAGCUUGCCAGUGUUUGGUGGCAUCACAGGUGUGAUAACUAUCUGCGCUUGUGGUUUUCCAUCAGAUAACCUUCAGUGAUGGAGGUUCGCUGGAGCUCAUAAACGUCUCCCCUAAGCGGGGACAGCCCUUUGAAUGUUUGAUCUCAAAUCAGGUAGGACUACCCGCUGAACUUAAGCAUAUCAAUAAGCGGAGGA
rnacentral:misc_RNA from 1 species